rfam:Fulmarus glacialis contig30433, whole genome shotgun sequence.
GUGGUAUAAAAAAAAUAAAUUUUAAGUGCCCUGCAUAUUUUCAGCACUUUGAAGACA